UGAUGCAGUAGAAAUUUUGAA
ensembl:piRNA 21ur-10353 ncRNA